ensembl:snRNA Gm26285 predicted gene, 26285
GUGCUUGCUUUGGCAGCACAUAUACAAAAAUUGGAACGAUACCGAGAAGAUUAGCAUGGCCCCUGCGCAAGGAUGACACGCAAAUUUGUGAAGCGUUCCAUAUUUUU